CACUGAGAGUGGUGCCACAAAAGCGUUAAUGACUUUUAUAAUAUACGGUGAUAUCAUCUUUGUCACGUUCCACUGCUGGAUUAUUGUUUCACACGCGGAGGAAAAAUGAAAAGUUUGUUGACAUGUGGACUUCAAUUCUUUCUAACUGGAAUAAGAAAGUAUGAAUUCUUUCAAUCAAAUAGCAAGCCCCUUCAGCGUUCCCCUCAAUGAAUGCUCUUCUUUUCCCAUCUGUACGUACAGUACAGUUCAGUACUGUAGUGGUUUAGAUGAACUCCAGCGCUUGGCCUCAAGAGGGAGCUAAUCGUCAAAUCACAGAACACCUGAUCCAAGCAGCAGACUGACAGAGUCCUCCCUUUAUAGUCAUCCACCCACGUCAGCCCUCGAUGGGGGUCUGGUCCCCUUCAUCGAGGUGGCAGUAGUGGGGCAGGUUCCUGUUGGACCGCUGUUGUUGUCAUUUAAGACUUCUGUGAAAAAAACUCUGGGAAAAUAUAACUGAUUUUUUCCAAAGAAACAAGGUACAUUAACUGUCGUGUUAAUUGAGAAAAUCAUGGUAGAAUUUGCAUUGAUGAUCCUGUUAAUUCAUAAUAAAGUGCACAUAUUUAUUUUUUAAGUGAAUGCGUAACCUGUACGUGACAUACAGAACAUUUUAUACAAAACAGAAGUCCAUACAUAAAAUAUCUCCCUCUUUCAGACCCCAAUACUGCAAGGGAUUACGGUUUCACACGCGGAGGAAGAUCUGCUGUGUAUCCGAGCUGCGUUCCUUAAAUUAACAGGCACGUCUCUCUACACUGCUCUACAGAAGCAGUACAAAGGAGAUCAUCUCCAGGCUCUGCUGGCCCUCUGUCGAUCUGAAGAUUGAACAAAAGUUGUACACAUUUUAAGUAGAUGAUUAAACUUUUAUUGCAACUUUUCAUA